rnacentral:lncRNA from 1 species
CUCACACAAACAACAACAACGUACAACCCCCAUCAAUAAUGCUCCAACAGUGUACAAGAAAAUGGAAAAAACAAAAAUAACAACAGCAAACAAUAUCCACGACAGCAACAGCCAACAGUAAAAUAACGACAAAACCCAAUCCCCAAACAAACAGACACAAUUUCAACGUUCAACAGCAACUUUGACAACAACACAACAAUUUCAACGCAACAACAAUAUCUAUUAAUCCAGAUUUUUCUCAAAAUCAUUCAAUCUGAUAUGAACAUGGACGGUCAUGUUUAAUUCGUGUUUGAAUUUAAAAUUAUUCAUCCUCAAUUUCUGUUUUGUUUCCUCCAAAAUCAAUCCCAAACCUUCUAUAAAUACCCAUUGAAGAACAAAAGGGAGGAGAAGGAUUUUUGAAAAAAAAAUUGAGGAGAGGCGCAUGCUUUUAAUCCUACGUAACCAAAAAUUCUCAAAGAAAUGGACUCGAGCUCAAUUCCGACGAAAAUUAAUCUUCGAAUUUAGUGUUGAAAGUUUCGUCGUCAAGGUUCGUUGUUCCCAUUCGCCGCCCACAAAAAGGUAAACUUAGCUCCCUUUAUCUAUUUUAUUUGAAGUAGCAUAAUUUAAUUGUUCGCGUUAAUAGUGCUUGUCCUUGUUUAGCCGUAAUCUUCUUCAGAGUGUUAUGAUCAUCUGUGUUCAGCUGGUAUAAGUAUUAAGUUGUUUGAUUAGCUAUCUGAUGAAACCCAAACUGAUUUUGCUUGUGUAUGAACUCUAGCUUCACUUUAUCAUCAAAACAGGGUUGUAACUGCUCGAUUGGAUCUCGAAGAACCUUGUUGUUUCAUUUUUUAUUUUAUUCUUUCCGCUUGAUUAAAUCCAAAUUAGCAAGUCUCAAUGUUGCCUGCACUCUACAUGUUUUCUUUUAUAUAAAGUAAAUUUUUGUUAAGUUCUAGAGAGAGAUCCUAUUUUUUCCUCAGUUAUCAUAUUUAUGUGUUUUUUGUUGAUGCAUUGCCAUAACACUCAUGUACACUAUCAUACAUGUACAUGAAAAAAUGGUGUCAAACAUGCUGAUUUCUACGUUGAUAUAUGGCGUAUACACGAUGGUAUACCUAAAAACGCAGAAAAAAAGGGGACUAAUAUACAUAUAGUAUACAUAGCUGAAAGAGGAUUAAAAAAAAAAAAAAAAGGCCAUUUAAAUAGGCCCAAAACCAAUGCUGUCCAGAUUUUAAAAUGGGCUAAUUAAGGGCCCAAUUUCAAUUCUUGUAUUCUUUUUUGUAGCUUAUAUUGUUUAGUGAAAAUUAUAUAUAUAACGACAUGUUUACUAGUAUUUACUAAAAAUCCCAGCUAUUUUCAAAAUUUCAUUAAAUCCCAACAUUUAGCCUUUGAAGAUACAUAUAAGUUCAGUUAGAUACGUCCUACAGAUACAUAUAUUAGUUAAACUAAUUAGCAUAUUUUAAGAGAUUAGUUAAACUAAUUAGCAUGUUUUAAGGAAUGUAACAGCGAAACUAGCAUUAAUAUAGCAAUUAACCUUACUAAUUAUGGUAAAAAAUAAAUAAUAUCCCACGAUAUAUGGUAAUUAGUUUGUUAUUCCACCAUUUUAAACAAAAACCUUUCCAUAAUUAGUUUUCAGGUUGCAAAAAGUUUAUACGUUCCAUCAAAAUAAAUCCAUACCUCUUUUUUUUUUUAUUUUUUGAUUUUCUUUGAUCAAUUGCUAUGAAAGUUCAUACGCUCCAUCAAAAAAAUUCAUACGACCUCUCUUUUUUAUUUGUUGAUUUUCUUUCAUCGAUUGCAAUGAAUAUUUCAAUGUCCGUACAUCAUUCCAACGUUUGGAUUAACGAUAUUAUACCAUAAUCACUCAAACCACUUUCGUUGUUGUUGUUCGAUAUGAAGGGAAACAAGAUCAUUACAAGUUGCGAAAAUAGUGAAGUUAAGGUUGGACAAAUCUACAAGGACAAGUGUAUUGUUAUUUCAGUUAUGGCAUGGUAUGCCAUUGAGCAUUCCUUCAAUUUCUAUGCGAAAAGAUACAAAAAAUGAUUUGUAUGUUUAAUGUUUCAAAAGUAGUUAUUUGUCUUUUGACUAUUCAAUUAUGCAUUUAACGUAAAAUUGAUUGUCGUUUUACGUAAUUCAGUUUUUGUUAUUUUUAGUAGGCCGAGAUACAUAUUUGGUCUAAUGAGAUAUAUUUUUUCUUCAUCUUGUAUCUCUGGUUCAGGUUGUUUAUAUAUAUGUAUCUCUUGAUGUUUUAGUUUUAGUGAUAUAAACAUACCAAAGAUACAUAUUAGUAGUGUUAAAUAUACAUAAUGGGCAUGAUAGCACAUAUAUGUGUCUCUCAUUAAUUUUUUCUGUACGAUAAAAUACAUCUUAAUUUUUUAACAUAUUACCGUUGAAGAUACAUAUAAUUAACGUGAGAUACAUCCUAUAGAUACAUUUAAUAAUUGAAUUAAUUUACAUAAUUUAAGGGUUGUAACGGUUAAAGUUCCUUUAAUUUAGCAAUUAACCUAACUAAUAAUGGUAAAAACUAAACAAAAUUCCACGAAAAUAGGUAAUUUGUUUGUUAUUCCACAUUUUUAAAUUAAAAAAAUUUCGUAUUUCGUUUUCAGUUAUAAACGAUUCCUACGACUUUUUUAUUGUUUUUUCUUGAUUUUGUUUGAAGUAAUUGCAAUGAACAUUUUAGUGUUGUUACGUUAUUCUGGCGUUUGGAUUAACGAUAUAACGUACGAGGG